rnacentral:misc_RNA from 1 species
GAUGAAGAACGUAGCGAAAUGCGAUACGUAAUGUGAAUUGCAAAUUCAGUGAAUCAUCGAGUCUUUGAACGCACAUUGCGCCCCCUGGUAUUCCGGGGGGCAUGCCUGUCCGAGCGUCAUUGCUGCCCUCAAGCACGGCUUGUGUGUUGGGCCCCGUCCUCCGAUCCCGGGGGACGGGCCCGAAAGGCAGCGGCGGCACCGCGUCCGGUCCUCGAGCGUAUGGGGCUUUGUCACCCGCUCUGUAGGCCCGGCCGGCGCUUGCCGAUCAACCCAAAUUUUUUAUCCAGGUUGACCUCGGAUCAGGUAGGGAUACCCGCUGAACUUAAGCAUAUCAAUAAGCGGAGA